GUAGUCACUGUCGUUUUGGGGAGUUUCAGAUUGCUCUGGCGGAGGCGGAUGUUAUGACUUUCGAGAAGUUGAUACAAUACAAUCACUGUAACUGGACUGUUAUGAACGGAAAAAAAUCAAUGGAGUUGAACUACGGAUGGAAAUAAGUCCAAACCAAACUAAGACAAUAAAGACUACACCUUUUAUGCCAGACAGAUCAUAUCCAAAGGACUCGGAAGAAGCUCCUUGAGAUUUCAGCAUGGGAAAAGCAAACAACAAAGAUCGAAUCUCAGCUCGCUAAUAAUACCAAGGUGAUUUCACAAAAGCCUCUCCAGUAAGAAAAUGGAGAAAGCAGAGAAACCAAGUUAGUAGCCGUUCAUGCAAAAGCACAAGAGAAGAAGGCAUGGGUUCAAACUCGACCUGCUCAAGAGAGCUUCAAUGCAGAAGAUGAAGCUGGCUAAGUUUCAAGCCGCUGGACAGAUUCCCAACAAGCCAUCUUGCAGCUGCUUCUAAUUUCAGCGAUAACAUAUGUUACAGAACCUAUAACUAUCACCUAUACU